CACAGGCAGCCCGCUCCCACAAUCAUCGCCACCCACCCACGACUCCCUCACCCUGGCUAGGGUUCCUAGCCCCUCGUCCUCAGCCACCGCUGCAUGUUCCUCGCUGGCCUCGCCCGGGCGCCUCCCGGACCUCGCCGGGAGAAUCCAGCCAGCGCCGUUCUGAUCUCCUCCUUAAUCCCUCGCCCCCAUCCUCCUACUCAAGAUGUCACCGUCGCCUCCCUCGCCCGCGGCCAUGAUGACCGAUCUGGCGGUGGCGCCGCAGAUCACCCUCUGGUCCAUGGCCUCGACGGUGACGACGUAGCCCGCGCCCGCGUUCUUCCUCCCCCAUCUCAUCUCCUCUCCGGUCACUAUAGAGGAACCCCGUUUCGCGCCGCCACCAUGGUUGCCUGCAGCGAGCAGCAGAGGACCUAGCCGCCGCGUCCGACCGCAACCGCCGCCUGAAACCCUAGCCCCUCCUUCCAACUGCAGGUCAAGCCAGCAGGGUCCCCUCCAAGAAGAGCAUUUGAUGCGCCCGACUCAUCUCUGCUUGUGCACAACAAGGAAGGCCAUGGACCGCUAACCUGCUCGACCUGCUCGACCUCCUCCUCACGCUGCCUCGGCCUCCCGGCCCUUGUCGUCGUUGGUCGCCCUCCACGGGUUCUGACGUGCCGUCGCCAACCACCAGAGAUGCCACCUCCUCAACGCACGAUAUAACCACAUUUACGUGCAAUAUGCAACAACUGUUUUCUUUGCUUCAGUAUUUUUGUGUCUCUGGCAAAGUUAAUCAUCAUAUUCAUGUCAUUUAUUUAGGAGGGAUCCCAAUUACUGACUGCAUCAGGCGACCAAUCUGUAAAGAUAUGGAGCAUGGAGAAUAAGAAAUGCCUUGGUGUGCUGUCAGGGCACACUAGAAGUGUGAAGUCACUGACAUGCCAUUCUUCAAAUCCUGAUCUUAUUAUUUCUGGUUCAAGAGACGGUUCUUUUGCACUUUGGGAUCUAAGAUGUGACCCCCAAACCCCAAAUGGUCAUGGUGAAGCAUGACUCAUGUAUGUUAUCUAAUGGCUACUGCAAUCUAAAUGCUCCUUUUAAUUGCAAUCACCAAAUAUUCGUAGCAAUAUAGCAUCUUUAACUGAAUUCGUAGCAAUAUAGCAUCUUUGCAUGUUAGAUCUUCUGCUUUUGUCAAAGAAGCGCACAGUCCCACUCGAAGGAAUCGGAUAAGGUCUUGAGCAAAGGGAGCUUCGACGAGCAUCACAUCAGUUCUGUAUCUAAAAGAUGACCUCUCCAUUGCUACUUCUGGAGUGCGAGCUGUUGGUGUUCAUCGUGUUAGGAAGAUGGGUGUAUAACUCGUGGAUCUUGGGGACAAGCGAAUGGAUCUUGGGUCGUGGGGACAAGCGGAUGGUGUUCGUCGUGUUAGGAAGAUGGGUGUAUAACUCGUGGAGUGCGAGCUGUUGCGUGGCGACGCUCGGCUGCAUUCGUUGAUCUGACUGUCUGUCAUCGUGCAGGUGUCGAAUUGUUGAUGGAGGCUUCAGGCCGUCCUUCUCAAGGAGAUGAGGCUGGCCAUUAAGGAUCUGGGGUGAAGGUCAUGUUAUCUCUUCUCGUGGCUCUACUGCCCACUGCUUCCACUGCUGAUAUUUUGAGCUCUUUGAUCAGAGCAAGCACCAUGGGAAGAUGAAAUUGUAGCAAACCAAGCCAACAUAAUCUAUGUCCCUUUAGGAGGCGAGUGGAUGCCGGAAAGAUGUUGGGGGCGUGAACUGUCCCGACAAUGACACUGUUGCCUGCUGACUAUGUGCAGGACUACCUGGCUGGACCUCUAUCUCAAUGUCAGAAAAUUAGGAACCUGAAGGGAAAAUGGAAGGCGCCUUUGAUGGACAUUCAGCCCGGAGUACAAGGAUGAUCCCUACAUCUAUACUUUUGAUAUGCUGAAGCACAUUGGCAUUGAGCCAAGGCAGAUGUAGGGCAGCGGUGGCGGGUGCAUAUAUAGGGAAGCAACAGCGGGUACAACCGUCUUAGGGAGAUCCUCUUCUCAUAUCAUGCCCAGUUGUUACUCCUCCAUUCGCUCGCCUCUCACCAUAUGUUCUACAAUAGUGCGGUGGUGGCGGGUACAGGCGCAGCGCGAUGACCUUUCGGCGCACCGGCUCUAGGAUGACCAGGGGCUUGGUAGCUGGGUCCGACAUCCCUAUGGUGGACAGAGCUGAUGGCGUAUGGAAGUGGCCGGUGGUGGGCAGGGAACAAUGUGGCCCCGUCGUCGUCCUCUUCGUUCAGCUUGACAUGACCGUUGUUCAGCUGAAGACAAGAUUACAUGGGGACGAUUAAAACUGGGGCAUGAAUGCACAAUACAUAUGUGAUGUGAUUUUUCUAAAUGGAAUUAAUUUUGUAUAGCUUGCAUCCCUUUCUUCUGUUAGUAGUUUGUAAAUAACAUGAAUCCAGUUUUAUACAUAAGCAAGUGGUAGCCAAGUGGUCUGGUGUUACAUCUGUGAAGAACCUGCUUGAAUGCAUAUGGCCUGGAUGCCUAGGUGUACUUCACCCUAACUUCACCCCAAAUCUGGAGAACUCACGUACCCAAAUUUCCAUCAUGCCAUGAAUGUUAGAUGCCUAUAAUGCUUUGGGAGCUGGGCGGAUAUGUGUUUCAUGAUUUGUUUUUUUCCUGGAAGGCAGAUCUUGUAAGUUAUUCUGUCUUUCAACCUGUGCGUAGCAUUUUGAUGUAAGUGUUUUGGUUCUCUCAAUCUAUGUGUAGCACGUUGUGUUUGUACUUCAAGCUGGCAGAGUACAGAUCACUUUCAUGGUCCAAAUUACUAGCAUCAAUCGAAUCAUGGACACAAGAUUUCAGUACCCUGUAAUAAUCUCUUAGGUGACUUUUGGACAAGUACACGCCCAGAUUUUUGGGAUUAAUAACACCGGACACCAGACUCUAAACAUGGGUCAAGCUGGAGCGACUCAAUAUGCAGCUUGAAUUCUGGUACACUAUAUGAGUGAUUCAAAUUUGCUCAAGGUUAACAAUAGCUGGCAUGGAGCCAACCGGCGGAAGGACUCUUGAUGCUAAAGUUUACAAUCCUCCCAACAACCAGUUCUUGCCACGGACACUGAAUGUUGUGACGUCAAUUUGGAAGCCACGGGAUGGAUCCCUUUCAGAGCGAUCUAGACGCCCUCGAUGCCUCGACAACUUCACGGGCGUCUGAAGUGUAAACUGACAUCAUACUUAUAACUAGUCAGUUUAGCGAUAAACCCUACAUUUUAGUUUUUUGCUAGGUGUCCUAUAUGCACUUUUAAUUUUUUAUAGGUGUGGAUAACUUCUUGAAAGCUAAAUCAGCCCAUAUUGUAUGUGAUUUUCCGUGAGGCAGACUAAAUUGGCAUCUUGAGGAUUCAUGCUUCAUGUAUCAUACAAGUGAUCCAUUCAUAGCUUCA